GCCCCCGCCUGCCCCGCCCGGCGCCGCACCACGUGGGCCAGGCGCCCCACGCCUGGAGCUCCCCUCUCUGGAGCCCCGGGAAAGGAAGCGGGGCAGGGAGGCCGGGUGGGAGCAGGGGGGUCUCCGGCGCUUCCUCUCCUCUGCGGGCGCCGCGCGGCUCCUGAGAGUCCGCCCCCCGUCCUGACGCUCAGCUAGGAAGCGGGUCCUCGGGCCCCUCCCCCGACACACACACACACACACACACACACACACACACACACACACACUCUCUCUCUCUCUCUCUCUCUCUCUCUCUCUCUCUCUCUCUCUCACACACACACACACACACACAGCCCGUCUCGCGCCUGAGGUCUCGCCCGCAGGCCGGUGGCGCGGGGUCAGCUGCUGCCUGCGGUCCAGGACAGGGUCGGUUCCGCCGCGCAGCGCCCAGGCCCAGCUCGUCCAGAGUCUGCGGACAGCGCACGUCCAGGUAACGCGCUUCAAGGGGCCGCGGCUCGGAGCUGGGGGACCCCGGGCCGCCCUGCCCAUACGAGUGCGAGCGUGGAGAGCGCGGGCGGGGGCGCGGUCCCGGGGGCCGGCCAGCUGGAGGGGGCGGGAGCGCUGGGCGGGGCCUGCGCUGACCCCGGCGCUGAGUCCCUGGGGCCGCCGGGCGGAUGGCGUGGCCGGACGCGGGGGCCCCGGGCCUUCCGGGCGUGACCUAGGGCUCGGGGGCGGGGAGGCCCCUCCGGCGGGGCGGCCCUGGGUGGUCCGGCAGAGGCGGAGGCCGCUCCGAGCCUGUGAGCCCUGGGCGCCUGCGGAGGCGGGGAGAGGGCGGGGUGUGCCGCCCUGGUGGGGACCGCGGGGUCGGAGAGGGGACAUUGCCCCCCCCGAGGCGAACGUCCAACCGCGGGUCCGGGUCCCCGCCCAAGGCCGCCCCGCGAGGUGGCCUCGGCCCGGCCGUCCCCGAGGGUGGCUCGGAUCCUUUCAACCAGCGCGCUGGAGGCGAAGGGGCUGCGCCAUUCCGGGUCAGGCAGCCAACGCGGGACACGCGCGUCUCCGAGCUUGCGGCCCGCGAAACCCGGGUGACCUACCGCGCCGGUGCCCUCAAAGCCCCCACGCCCGGGCCGGUGGCCGCUGCAGCCACUGAGCCACGCGGUCUCCCCGGCCCGGUCGGCAGAAGGAGCUGGUCCGUUACUAGAAAAGUCCAGAUGCAAAGUCGGGGGUCGUGCUGCCGCUUCCUGCCAGCGCACCGCACCCACCUGGGGCCGCCACCGACCGCACAGGACGCGCCUCCUACCCCCUGUUCUGGCCCGGCCGAGAGCUGGUGCCCCCAGCGGCCGCCCGCCCCCGUCCGCAGACCCCGGGGCCCUUGCUGCUUUGCAUUGGGAACAACCGGAGCCAGGCCCGGAGCUGAGGGGGCCAGGGCCUUUGGAGGAAGCAUUGGCCUCCAGGCUGAAGAGCAAGGGCCGUGUCACCUGCCCGGAGGGCGGUCUCAUCUCUGCAGCCAGGUCAGAGGAAGCAGCGGUGGGGAGACGGAGUGCGCGAGUUGGGAGGCUCCACGCAUCGUAGGUGGAGAGCUGGCUGCCAGCCUGGCCUGCCCUCUCUUCCCCGUCCCACCAUCUCGCUUGGCUCCGGCACCUGCCUGGGAAGACCCACACCUCCGUCUGCAGUGCCUCUUCCCCCUGGAGGCCCUGCCCUCCGCUCGGGGUCCCCGCAUCCUUCCGUGGCCCUCAGAGCAUCGCCUGGGGCGCCCGCGGAACUCAUCUGUUAGGCCUGGGAUGCAGGCAGGCAGAAGUGGGGGUUUAAGUGGAAGCAGUGAGGGUGGGGGUCCGGUCCAAACUGUGCCACCUUCCACCCCCUGCCCCUGGGAGAGCAGACAUCGCCCACUCGGGCUCACAGUGCCAUCCGGGUGAGGACCUCCGUGGAGAGCUCUCUUUGCCAAAGAAAAGCAGUUGCAUUAGGUCUGCGAGCAGGCAGGGUGGCCUCUUCCUGGCUCCCCAUCCACCAAGGAAGCUUCAAGUCCCUGGGACACAGGCACUUUCCCACACAGGAUGGAGCCGGGCCACCCUCACAGCUCCUGCCCUGCAGACGCUGGCCUUGUGGAGGGAGGCAGGCAGCAGGAGCAGUGCUUUCUGGGCCUCUGUAGCCAGAGCUGGCCCUGCUGCAGCUUACGUCUGCCUGCAGCCCAGACGUCCUCCUGGUCCUCCUGAUGCCCCCGACCUCCACGGAGGACGAGCAUUUCCAGCCCAGCCCUCCCCAUCUUCACCUCGCACUCCCCUGACACACUGGGAGCCUCCUGAUCCGUGAACCCGCGCUGGCGGGAGUAGCUACUGACCGCUGGGGACCCCUGCCCAGGCUGUUCGCAUGUGGAAAGGAUUCAGGGAGCAGGCGAUGCCCAAAGCGUGGAGACCAGCACUGCUCUCUCCCCAGUGACAGUACAGCUGUGCCGUGUACAGGAGGGUGCUGUCUGACGCCAGACACCUGGACUACAGAUCGCAGCCUGAUUCCUGGUCAUUGCUCCACUGAACCCCAGACCCCAGCCUCGUUCUGGGCCCUCAUCCCCUAGAUCCAGGGACCCCAGCCCCAUUUCAGCCCUUGGGCCCUUGUAGGAUGCGAGGCCCUGGGCCCCAGCCCCCAGCCCAUCCGUGGCCCAGGCACUGGGGGGCUGAGGUCCUCUGAGAAGGGACACAGGGCCUGGGGGGCUCUCUCAGCCCAUCAGCAGGAGAGGACUGACUCCAGAAAAAUCAGCGUUUGUACCCACUCAGGCUGCCAAGACCUGUGUCCGUCCUUCCAAGCUCAACCUUCAGAGUUCAUGAGGCCCCUUGCCCAGAAUGUCCACAGAGUUCAUGAGGCCCCUUGCCCGGAAUGUCCACAUUUGAAACCUCCCAACACCGAGCCCCAUUUCAAGUAUAACCAGGAGGGAAAAUGGUGCUUGAAAUAAGCAUGCCACAAAGGAAAACCUGCUUUCUCGAAAUGGGCCCUGGCCGCCCAGGCCCUGACCUCCCCGGCCAGGAUGGAACGUUCCAGAGACCCAUUAGUGCCAAAGGCAAAUGAAAACACACCCUGUGAAAAUGUC
rnacentral:lncRNA from 1 species